rnacentral:lncRNA from 1 species
GGGUAGCCCCCAGGGCUUCCCUUGUGCUUCGGCUUCCCUCACAGAGCCCCCAGCCUGUACAAGGAGGAUGAACCCAACGUUUUUGCGGAGCCGGCCGUCCUGGCACAGCAGCUGCUCCCCUUCCUGCUGCAGCUCCUGGAGAAGGUGCCCGAUGCCAGCCCACUCCGUGCCUCAGCCCUGCACUGGCUGGAGGCCACAGGCCCUGGAGUCCUGCGGGACCUGCAGUACUGCAGGCACCUCUGGAGCCAAGAGGCCGUCGCACGCUGGUGGAUGAAGGCUCUGGGCUGUGCCAAGCUGCGGGUGGCCCUGGCUGUGCUGCUGGUGAGGGCCAGGCUGGCGGCCCAUGCGCUGCGAGUGCUGGCCAGGGCGAUGCACCGAGGGAACCGGGAUCACUGCCUGGGAACGACUGAUGGCUCCAGGCAUGGAGUGGCAUCACACUGAGCUGGCUCUCGCUGCUGUGUCCCUGCGUUUUUUUGGGUGCUCGCUGCAGCCAGGCAGCAGGUUUGGCAGUGGAACUUGGGGAACCCCACUCGCCGUGUGGGACGUGCUUGCUUUGGAUGCAGCAGUGCUGGUGGUGGGAGCGAGCAGCGCUUUGCUCUUCGGUUCACACGGGGUGGUCGCUCUGCAUCCCAGUGGCACCAGCACAGCAUCACCUCCCUGUGCCUGCUCCCUGCAGCACUCCCUGCCCCCGGGUCCAGCUGGGAGGACAGGACACGCAGCCCUGUCCCCUGCUGGGACACCCGCUGACCGUUUUCAACCAGGAUUUUGGCUCUUUUUGCGGGAGCCUUUUAUCCCAAAUAAAGAACCCCGAAACCACCCCGCUGUCAAAGCCUUUCCAUGGCCUUUCUCGGGGG